rnacentral:rRNA from 1 species
UACAGAGGUCUCAAGCGUUGUUCGGAUUCAUUGGGCGUAAAGGGGUGCGUAGCGGCGCGGUAAGUCGGGUGUGAAAUCUUGGAGCUUAACUCCGAAACUGCAUUCGAUACUGCCGUGCUUGAGGACUGGAGAGGAGACUGGAAUUUACGGUGUAGCGGUGAAAUGCGUAGAUAUCGUAAGGAAGACCAGUGGCGAAGGCGGGUCUCUGGACAGUUCCUGACGCUGAGGCACGAAGGCCAGGGGAGCAAACGGG